rnacentral:rRNA from 1 species
CCCGCACAAGCGGUGGAGCAUGUGGUUUAAUUCGAUGCAACGCGAAGAACCUUACCUGGUCUUGACAUCCACGGAAGUUUUCAGAGAUGAGAAUGUGCCUUCGGGAACCGUGAGACAGGUGCUGCAUGGCUGUCGUCAGCUCGUGUUGUGAAAUGUUGGGUUAAGUCCCGCAACGAGCGCAACCCUUAUCCUUUGUUGCCAGCGGUCCGGCCGGGAACUCAAAGGAGACUGCCAGUGAUAAACUGGAGGAAGGUGGGGAUGACGUCAAGUCAUCAUGGCCCUUACGACCAGGGCUACACACGUGCUACAAUGGCGCAUACAAAGAGAAGCGACCUCGCGAGAGCAAGCGGACCUCAUAAAGUGCGUCGUAGUCCGGAUUGGAGUCUGCAACUCGACUCCAUGAAGUCGGAAUCGCUAGUAAUCGUGGAUCAGAAUGCCACGGUGAAUACGUUCCCGGGCCUUGUACACACCGCCCGUCACACCAUGGGAGUGGGUUGCAAAAGAAGUAGGUAGCUUAACCUUCGGGAGGGCGCUUACCACUUUGUGAUUCAUGACUGGGGUGAAGUCGUAACAAGGUAACCGUAGGGGAACCUGCGGUUGGAUCACCUCCUUACCUUAAAGAAGC